rnacentral:rRNA from 1 species
UGAGGAACAUGACCUUCGGCGGGGGAUAGCCGGCCCAACGGCCGGGUAAUACCGCGUACGACCACCUGGGGACAUCCUCGAGUGGUGAAAGCAGCAAUGCGCCGAUGAAGUGCCUCGCGGCCUAUCAGCUAGUUGGUGAGGUAACGGCUCACCAAGGCGACGACGGGUAGCUGGUCUGAGAGGAUGGCCAGCCACAUUGGGACUGAGACACGGCCCAGACCUCCGUAGGGAGG